AACUGAUUUUGUUUUUGGCUGAUAAGGCAACAAUCAUUUUACGUCUCCAGCCCCCAUAACCACUACCCGAGAAGGGAGUGGGAACGAGAGAUACUCCAGGGACAUCAGAAGAAUAUACAAAAAGGGGACUGGAAGAGUCUAGAGAAGGGGAGGAAACAGUACUUGUGUUAGAAGCCAUAGUCAAUGAACCGGCUUAAAUGAAUGACUUUUUCAACAAACAGAAUACAACCAAAACAGGUAUUCACACACAACAACCAACAAACAGA
rnacentral:lncRNA from 1 species